rnacentral:sRNA from 1 species
AUUAGUAUUUGACUAUUUAAUUUUUAAAGAAAUGAAUUAAUUUACUCUUUAAAAUUUAAUUUCUAAUGGCAUACCUAUAUAAUUAUUUACAAAAAAUAAGAUUAUAUUUAAAAUGUAUUUCCGAAAUAAUAUAGUAGGAUAAUAAAAAUGGAGAUGCAGUGAAGGGAAUGUGUACGUU